UACGUAGGGUGCAAGCGUUACUCGGAAUUACUGGGCGUAAAGCGUGCGUAGGUGGUGAGUUAAGUCUGUCGUGAAAGCCCCGGGCUCAACCUGGGAAUGGCGAUGGAUACUGGCUCGCUAGAGUGCGGUAGAGGAGAGUGGAAUUCCCGGUGUAGCAGUGAAAUGCGUAGAGAUCGGGAGGAACAUCAGUUGCGAAGGCGGCUCUCUGGACCAGCACUGACACAGAGGCACGAAAGCGUGGGGAGCAAACAGG
rnacentral:rRNA from 1 species